UACGGAGGGUGCGAGCGUUGUCCGGAAUCACUGGGCGUAAAGGGCGCGUAGGCGGUCUGCUAAGCGUGCGGUGAAAGCCCGGGGCUCAACCCCGGGUCUGCCGUGCGAACUGGUGGACUAGAGCACUGUAGAGGCGAGUGGAAUUCCGGGUGUAGCGGUGGAAUGCGUAGAGAUCCGGAAGAACACCGGUGGCGAAGGCGGCUCGCUGGGCAGUAGCUGACGCUGAGGCGCGACAGCGUGGGGAGCAAACAGGAUUAGAAACCCUGGUAGU
rnacentral:rRNA from 1 species